UGAUCUGUGGCUUAGCGCCGGACUUGUGAUAACGGAGUCGUGGGUUCGAAUCCCACCAAAACAA
rnacentral:tRNA from 1 species